UGGGGAAUUUUGGACAAUGGGCGAAAGCCUGAUCCAGCAAUGCCGCGUGUGUGAAGAAGGCCCUCGGGUUGUAAAGCACUUUUGUCCGGAAAGAAAUCCUUGGCUCUAAUACAGUCGGGGGAUGACGGUACCGGAAGAAUAAGCACCGGCUAACUACGUGCCAGCAGCCGCGGUAAUACGUAGGGUGCAAGCGUUAAUCGGAAUUACUGGGCGUAAGCGUGCGCAGGCGGUUUGCUAAGACCGAUGUGAAAUCCCCGGGCUCAACCUGGGAACUGCAUUGGUGACUGGCAGGCUAGAGUAUGGCAGAGGGGGGUAGAAUUCCACGUGUAGCAGUGAAAUGCGUAGAGAUGUGGAGGAAUACCGAUGGCGAAGGCAGCCCCCUGGGCCAAUACUGACGCUCAUGCACGAAAGCGUGGGGAGCAAACAGGAUUAGAUACCCCGGGUAGUCCANGCCCCUAAACGAUGUCAACUAGUUGUUGGGGAUUCAUUUCCUUAGUAACGUAGCUAACGCGUGAAGUUGACCGCCUGGGGAGUACGGUCGCAAGAUUAAAACUCAAAUGAAUUGACGGGGUCAUAGCUGUUUCCU
rnacentral:rRNA from 1 species